rnacentral:lncRNA from 1 species
CAUCAGCAUCGUUAACAGUGGUCUGACCGCCAAUGGUUCGGUGGUGUCAUCGGAGUGGGAGGGAAUAGAGACCGCAACUCCUGGCCACUUUGUGGUCAUAGCGCCGCCGGUGGGCCUCGGCGUCUACAACGUCAUAGGCAUCGACUACGACGCCUACUACUGCGCAUACUCUUGCGAUCAGCUCGGCGAGUUUCGUGAUCAGUUUGCCUGGGUUUUGUCCCGUACUCCCACACUGCCUACUGACGUUCUGGCAGCAGCAGAGGCGGUGUUCACCACCAACAACAUCGACGUCAACAUAUUCGAGCCAACGCACCAGGGCGACGAUUGCGUCUACCCUCCACUGC